rnacentral:misc_RNA from 1 species
GCAAACUUGGUCAUUUAGAGGAAGUAAAAGUCGUAACAAGGUUUCCGUAGGUGAACCUGCGGAAGGAUCAUUACCGAGUUUUCGGGCUUCGGCUCGACUCUCCCACCCUUUGUGAACGUACCUCUGUUGCUUUGGCGGCUCCGGCCGCCAAAGGACCUCCAAACUCCAGUCAGUAAACGCAGACGUCUGAUAAACAAGUUAAUAAACUAAAACUUUCAACAACGGAUCUCUUGGUUCUGGCAUCGAUGAAGAACGCAGC